rnacentral:rRNA from 1 species
AGCAGCCGCGGUAAUUCCAGCUCCAAUAGCGUAUAUUAAAGUUGUUGCAGUUAAAAAGCUCGUAGUUGAAUUUCGGGAUCAAUAUAUCGGUCGUGCCUUUGGUACGUACUGGUAUCAUUGAUUUCUCCCUUCUGACGAAUCAUGAUGUCAUUAAUUUGGUGUUAUGAGGAGUUAGGACUGUUACUUUGAAAAAAUUGAGUGUUUAAAGCAGGCAUUAGCUUGAAUACAUUAGCAUGGAAUAAUGAAAUAGGACGUUUGACCCUAUUUUGUGGUUUCUAGGAUCGACGUAAUGAUUAAUAGGGAUAGUUGGGGGCAUUAGUAUUCAAUUGUCAGAGGUGAAAUUCUUGGAUUUUAUUGAAAGACUUAACUACUAGCGAAAGCAUUUGCCAAGGAUUGUUUCAUUAAUCAAGAACGUAAAGUUAGGGGAUCGAAGACGAUCAGAUACCGUCGUAGUCUUAACCAUAAACUAUCGCCGACUAGGGGAUCGGAUGAUGUUAAGUUUUAUAUGACUCUUACG